UCUGUGUGUGCAGAUACUGUGUGUGUAGAUACCAUGCAAUCAUUGAACCACGUUUAUAAGGAAUAGAGGGUUUUUCUUUUUAACAGAUCACCAGUGAGAAUGAAGACAAGUGUGGACAAGAAAUACACUUGAGCAGAGGAAGCCUUUGCAUCUCAACACAGUACAUUCUAUUUCUUGAGUUAUAAGUGCCCAUCGUACAGACCGUUUCCUUCUACCCUUAGUGUGCCAAGGGUCAGGAUGCUUUUAGAAUGUGUUUCUUUCACAGACCAGACUCCUGGCAAUACCGAAGUCCUAUACCUGGAGUGGUGCCACCCACAUUCAGGCUGUGUCUUUUUACACUGAGCAAAGCAGUCAAGACAUUUCCCAACAGACAUUCCCACAGCCUCCCUGAGCUAGAGAGGCCCUCACUGAGAAUCACCUCUCAGGUGACUGUAAGUGAUGUCAUGUUGUCAUGUCAUUUUAACCAACCAGCACAACUGGCAUGGCCAACUCUCAUCACCUUCUAACUCCCAAAUAUUCUGUCAUCUCAGAGAGGUCCCCAGCCACUGUUCUUACCUUCAGCCUGACUGUAGCUUUAUCUGUUCCAACUCUGCAGACCUGCCAUUUCUAGGAGUGUUGUCUAGAUGGAGUCAUGCAGCUCCUGGCUUGUUGCUAAGCACAGGUGCUGGUGUAUCACACAUGUGUGUCAGUCAGAACCCUCCUCUGUCACUUUGGUUCCUUGGUGUGGCCAGGCUAUAGCUUUUCUGUUGUUGGGCCUGUGGGUGGCCUUUACUUCUCCCCAGUGCUACUCGGAGUCCUCACUGUUCUUGGCAUGUGUACUUUGAGGUAGAAUUGUGCCUGUGCACAGUAAUGGGAUUGCAGGGCACAGGAGCUAGGUGUUCUCUUUGGUGGGUUAGCAUUGUCAAUCAGAUACCUAUGAGGCAGGCUUCUGGGAACACCUUUGAGGGAUUGUCUGGGUUAAGAUUAGCCUUUGGGAAUGAAUGUCAAUAAAGGAUUGCCUGAAUUAAGUUGAAGUGGGAAGACCUGCCCACUGUGGGUGGCACCAUUCCCUAGCCAUGAUAUCCUGGAUUUUUUUUAAGGAUGGAGAAUGUGAGUGGAGCACUAGCAUGUAUGUGUUAACCCAGUGGUCUCUGCUCUGGAAUGUAGACAGAGUAUAACCAGUUUUCUUAAAUGCCUGCUUCUGUAACCGCCCUGCCAUGAUGAUAAUGACCUGGAACUGUGAGUCCAAUGCACCCUUUCUCCCUUAAGUUGCUUUCGUCCGAGAUUUUAUUACAACAACAGAAAAUAAACUAAGACAGAGACCCCCUUCUCUUUGCAGCCUGAGUGGUAGGAGGGCAGGUGUGGACGUCCCUUCCUGACUCUCUGACUGCAUGCUGAACUGGAAGGCAGCCCUAUGGCUGCCAGGACUGUGUCCCCUGGGAGGCAGGGCCUUAUUCGCUGGAUCUGCAGUGAUCGGUGGUCUCAGGCAGGCUGCUCUCUGGUCCAAAGCAUUGCAGUUGGUGGCCACACCCAGGGCUGUGGUUCCUGCCAGGCUAGAUCCACCUGAGAAGAGGACCCUCAAUUGAGAAUGUGCCUCCCUCUUACUGGCACACAGGUAAACCUUUCUGGAAACGCCAGAUAUUGUCCAGAGAUGUGUUUCCAUGGCAAUCCUCAUCUAGCCAAGUUGGCAAUGAGGAUGAAUAAUCAACGAGCAUCAACUUUCAACUGAACUCUGGUGUCUCUCUGCCUUAAAUAUGUCUCUUGGAAACUGCUGAAUUAUAUUAAAAAAAAAAAGCUGAUGUUCGGACUUCACUGCGGUGGUAAAUGGCAGCGCGCUCUGCUGAAGAUCCCAACAGGAAUUGGACUCCAGUCAGUCCUUCACAGACCCAGCUCAAAUCUUCUGAGUGUUCUCGUGCACUCCUUGUCAGCCACUCCGCAGACACCUACUCAUUCGGGCGGAGCACAGAGGAGGGGCUAACCCCAGGAUGCUCACUGGCAGAGAAGACUUUUUGCUGAGAUUGUCUUGGCAUCCAAUGGAUCUAUAGCCAUGGCCAUCCAGGAGCCCUGGGGCACCUGUGGUAGGGUCAAGUGUGAGAUGGAGCACGGAAGUGUGAUGCUGGUUGUUGGAGUGGUACCUAGGCACUGAUGAAUGUUCCUCUACCCCAACAGCAAGACACAGCUUGCUCUCAAAUAUCAAUGACGGUAGGUUGAUGGUACUUGAUUCUCUUGGGAGGACAACAGCCACACACUAGGGAGGGUACAGUGGGGAAGGAAGAGUCUCGAGAGUCCCAAGUGAGUGUUUGUGGUAGUUUGAAUAAGAAUCCCCACCACCACCUCUAGGCUCAUAAAUUUGAACGCAUAGGGAGUGGCACUGUUUGAAAGGAUUGGGAGGUGUGGCCUUGUUGGAGGAAGUAGUCACUGGGAGUAAGCUCGGAGGUUUUAAGAACCCAAGCCAGGCCCAGUGGCUUUCUCUUCCUGCUGAGUGUGGAUGUGAAUGUAGGACCUUCAACUCCCUCUUCAGCGCCAUGUCUGCAUGUAUGCCACCAUACUUCCUGCCAUGAUGAUAAUGGACUGAACCUCUGAAACUGUAA
rnacentral:sRNA from 1 species